CGUACCUAAAAUUACCAGAGACCGAAAAUAUAUCAUAAAUUUAUCCUUCCAUACAUAUGUACAUACCUCACUAAAAUUGAUAUUUUUGUAAUUCUUAAAAGAAAAAGCAAUAGCUGAAUAUGCUGUUAUGUUUAUUAAUGCUUUAUUUCUGUUUGCCACACAAAAAAUCGACGACACUUUGCUCAUAAUACCGUUAGUAUAAGUCCACUAUGUAAAUCGGGUCGCUACAUAGAGAAUAGCUCAGAAUGCCACUUGGAACUAAAUUUCGUCUGAGGAACAGAUCAAGAUUGAGAUUAUGAACAAAGAUGAUUUAAAAUUUAUGUAAUUACUGAUGAGUUGCUCCACAUUACAGCGGGCUUAUCCCUAUAAGUCCCAAGACAACGUGUAAAACAAAUGUUGAGGGGAAACUUAAAUCUUAAAUAUGAAUCCAAAGUGUCUAAAUUGCGCUUAUAAGAUCGCCAUAAAAACGAAUGCAUCCUUUUUCGAAAAAUACAAAUUCUAAGAAGUAGAGUUUCAAAAUUUGAUAUUUAGUGAUGAUAAAACAUUAAAUUUAGAUGGAUCAUAAGUAUUUGAGAGAUCUACGGGACCCUCGCCAUACUUACUAUAAGCGCAAACAUGGCGGUGAA